GACGUAGGGGGCCAGCGUUGCUCGGAAUUACUGGGCGUAAAGGGUUCGUAGGCGGUGUGGCAAGUCGGGAGUGAAAUCUCUGGGCUCAACCCAGAGGCUGCUUCCGAAACUGCCGUGCUUGAGUGUGGGAGAGGCGCGUGGAAUUGCAGGUGUAGCGGUGAAAUGCGUAGAUAUCUGCAGGGACACCCGUGGCGAAAGCGGCGCGCUGGACCACAACUGACGCUGAGGAACGAAAGCUAGGGGAGCAAACAGG
rnacentral:rRNA from 1 species